rnacentral:lncRNA from 10 species
CCACCCUUUCAACCCCCAGUCCCAACAACGAAACACUGUAAGAAGCUUUGUCUAUGUCAGGCAUUCUCUGGCUUACAAGGAGGAAAGAUUUUCCUUCCUAACCUAACUGAACUUAAUCCUGAACUUAAUCCUGAAAUCUUCUCAUCGCUUUUUCACCUCUGAAAAAUGUGACCUUAAUCAAACAUGACUGCUAAAUAUUGGACAGGGUGAGAGCCACAGAGAAUCAAAAGGAAACAUGCUGAAAGAUGAAAGAAGUUCAGUGAGAUGAAGUGACUUAUCUGAGGACUCACGCUCAAGGGUACCCAAGCCAGGACUAGGACCAGCUAAAAGCAUGAACACCAGCCAAUCUCAGAAAGGGGUUAAUUGCUGAAGACAUAGACUAUUAGCUUACAGGAGCCCUCUCAGCCCAAGCACUUUAAUUUCUUAGUAGCUACAAGGAGGAAGAUUGCACAUCUUCAAAGGAAACUAGAUGCAUGAUAUUGGUGAGAUGAGACUUGGAGGUGACUUCACAGAUGACGGGUUUAAUGCCCCAUAAUUAUGAAGGAAGGCCAGUCUCUGCCAGUCUGACUCAGAGGGCUUACUGAGUCAUCCUAUUUGUCCUCUGCUGCUAUUUAUGGGCUUCCCAGUUGCUGAUAUUUGCCGGGCUGGUCUCCAGCUCCUAACCACGAGUGAUCUGCC